rnacentral:misc_RNA from 1 species
GAUGAAGAACGUAGUGAAAUGCGAUAAGUAAUGUGAAUUGCAGAAUUCAGUGAAUCAUCGAAUCUUUGAACGCACAUUGCGCCCCUUGGUAUUCCGAGGGGCAUGCCCGUUCGAGCGUCAUUAUACCCCUCAAGCCUAGCUUGGUGUUGGGGCCUGCUGUUACCGGCAGCCCUUAAAAUCAGUGGCGGUGCCAUCUGGCUCUAAGCGUAGUAAUACGUCUCGCUACAGGGUCCCGGUGGAUGCUUGCCAUCAACCCCUAAUUUUCUAUGGUUGACCUCGGAUCGGGUAGGGAUACCCGCUGAACUUAAGCAUAUCAAUAAGCGGAGGA